CUACAAAAUUCACUAUUCACGUCGGUCAACGCGACUAUUCAUCGCGUUGACCGACGUGAAUAGUGUUAUAUUAAACAUAAUCGUCAUUUUUAAAAUGACACAAAUAAUAGAUAUUUUGCGUCAUUUGAUAUCCUUCACUAAAUAGACAACCGACGGCAAAAGAGAAAAUUUAAAAAAAUAUAUAUAUAAGAUUCGCGUCCUUUUAAAAGUCUCACAAACAUUAUCUCUGUCAUUUUCCAACCGACGAUUAAAAAAAGUUGCGACUGUGACCAACAGACACAAACUCUCUUAUGGCUCACUUACCCAAAAUUUCUUAGACCAAGCAAAUCAUUCGUUCAUACUCUCUGGUAGUGUGAACCCUAGGUGCGCAAUUUUAAUCAUCUCCGCCCCUCAAAAUUUUGCUCUACUGUGCCUCCAUCAGCUCUGAAGCUCUUCAACCCUCUCUCAAAUUUUUGCUCCACCAGCGUAAUAUUAGAGAAGCGAAGCGAUAGCUUUAUUAGAUAAGUUUAGGUUAGACAUUCCCUACAGUAACAAGGAGAUCAAUGCAGUACGAGAUGAGUGAGCCGCAUUUAUGAAGCCUUUGAUUAUUAAUUCAAGUCAGACGCUCCCUAUAGUAACAAGAAGAUCAAUGUAGUACGGGAGGAGUGGGCCAAAUUUGUGAAGCCUUUGAUUAUAGGUUACUACUUUUGUUAUAAUACACGAGUAACAAGUUUUAUCAUGAUUAUUGUUAUCUUUUGCAUAUGUAAUUAGUUUAUAUUUAGAUUACGAUAUACAUAGCAUUUAAGUUUUAGGAUCGAUUCUAUUAACAAUUUUGGUAUUGAGUGAUUAGUUAAUAGAAUCGAUUACUAAUUUUAUGUAAGUUUUAAAAAUAUUAUUUUAAAUUUUUUUUGUAUUAUGUAUUUACUAUUAUAUAGAAUUAUUCUAAAAUUUGAUAAUGCAGGUGGAGAAAAUUGCAUGAAAAAUUUGCAAUUUUCCCUUACUUAUAUUUGUGCUUCAUUUUAUAAGUGACGCAAUAGGUUUAAAAAAAAAAAAAAUUCGUAAUAGAUGUGGCAUUUUUGAACAGACGUAAUAAGGUUUUUGUGACAGUUUUAAAAUGUCAUAAAUAAUUUAGCGUCAUUUCUAAACCGACGCAUAAGAUAAAAUAGAAAAGUAAAUCUUUUGCGUCGGUUUAUAAAUGUCGAAAAUUGUUUUUUGCGUCGUUUUGAAAAUGACGCUAAUAAACAACUAUUUGCGACUACGGUAUAUACGUCGGUUUUUUAAACCGACGUAAAUUCUUUAAAUGACACUUAAAA